GGGCGAUUAGCUCAGUUGGUUAGAGCGCUGCUUUCACACGGCAGAGGCCAGAGAUUCGAGUUCUCUAUCGCCCA
rnacentral:tRNA from 1 species